AACGCUAGCUACAGGCUUAACACAUGCAAGUCGAGGGGCAGCAUGGUCUUAGCUUGCUAAGGCCGAUGGCGACCGGCGCACGGGUGAGUAACGCGUAUCCAACCUGCCUUACACUCUUGGACAGCCUUCUGAAAGGGAGAUUAAUACAAGAUGGCAUCAUGAGUCCGCAUGUUCACAUGAUUAAAGGUAUUCCGGUAGACGAUGGGGAUGCGUUCCAUUAGAUAGUAGGCGGGGUAACGGCCCACCUAGUCUUCGAUGGAUAGGGGUUCUGAGAGGAAGGUCCCCCACAUUGGAACUGAGACACGGUCCAAACUCCUACGGGAGGCAGCAGUGAGGAAUAUUGGUCAAUGGGCGAGAGCCUGAACCAGCCAAGUAGCGUGAAGGAUGACUGCCCUAUGGGUUGUAAACUUCUUUUAUAAAGGAAUAAAGUCGGGUAUGGAUACCCGUUUGCAUGUACUUUAUGAAUAAGGAUCGGCUAACUCCGUGCCAGCAGCCGCGGUAAUACGGAGGAUCCGAGCGUUAUCCGGAUUUAUUGGGUUUAAAGGGAGCGUAGAUGGAUGUUUAAGUCAGUUGUGAAAGUUUGCGGCUCAACCGUAAAAUUGCAGUUGAUACUGGAUAUCUUGAGUGCAGUUGAGGCAGGCGGAAUUCGUGGUGUAGCGGUGAAAUGCUUAGAUAUCACGAAGAACUCCGAUUG
rnacentral:rRNA from 1 species